rnacentral:rRNA from 1 species
AUGGUUCAGGAUGAACGCUAGCGGCAGGCCUAACACAUGCAAGUCGAGGGGUAACAGAGAAGCUUGCUUCUGCUGACGACCGGCGCACGGGUGCGUAACGCGUAAGCAACCUACCUCAUACAGGAGAAUAGCCCUUGGAAACGAGGAUUAAUACUCCAUGGUAUCAUUCUUUCGCAUGUUAGAAUGAUUAAAGAAUUUCGGUAUGAGAUGGGCAUGCGUCCCAUUAGCUUGUUGGUGAGGUAACGGCUCACCAAGGCAACGAUGGGUAGGGGGCCUGAGAGGGUGGUCCCCCACACUGGUACUGAGACACGGACCAGACUCCUACGGGAGGCAGCAGUGAGGAAUAUUGGUCAAUGGAGGAAACUCUGAACCAGCCAUGCCGCGUGAAGGAUGACGGCCCUAUGGGUUGUAAACUUCUUUUAUAUGGGAAGAAACUUAUCUACGUGUAGAUAACUGACGGUACCAUACGAAUAAGGAUCGGCUAACUCCGUG